rnacentral:misc_RNA from 1 species
GAUGAAGAACGCAGCGAAAUGCGAUAAGUAAUGUGAAUUGCAGAAUUCAGUGAAUCAUCGAAUCUUUGAACGCACAUUGCGCCCGCCAGCACUCUGGCGGGCAUGCCUGUUCGAGCGUCAUUUCAACCAUCAAGCCCCCAGGGGCUUGUGCUGGGGCCCUGCGGCUGCCCGCAGGCCCUGAAAACCAGUGGCGGGCUCGCUAGUCACACCGAGCGCAGUAGCACAUCUCGCUCAGGGCGUGCGGCGGGCUCCUGCCGUGAAACCCCCCACUGUAACCCCAAAGGUUGGCCUCGGAUCAGGUAGGAAUACCCGCUGAACUUAAGCAUAUCAAUAAGCGGAGGA